AUUGAACGCUGGCGGCAGGCCUAACACAUGCAAGUCGAGCGGUGCGGCGGACGGGUGAGUAAUGCCUAGGAAUCUGACUGGUAGUGGGGGAUAACGUCCGGAAACGGGAGAUAAUACCGCAUACUAUCAGAUGAGCCUAGUUCGGAGUAACUAGUGGGUUGGGUAAAGGACUACAAAGGCGACGGUCCGUAACUGGUCUGAGAGGAGGAUCAGUCACACGGGAACGGAGACACGGUCCAGAUUUCGACGGGAGGCAGCCGUGGGUAAUAUUGGACAAUGGGGUAAAGCCUGAUCCAGCCAGGCCGCGUGUGUGAAGAAGGUCUUCGGAUUGUAAAGCAAUUUAAGUUGGGAGGCGUUACCAACAGAAUAAGCACCGGCUAACUCCGUGCCAGCAGCCGCGGUAAUAC
rnacentral:rRNA from 1 species